UAGCACAUGCAAGUCGUACAGGUAGACCUCUUCGGAGGUACUCGAGUGGCGAACGGGUGAGUAACACGAGGGUAUCUGCCCUGCACUUUGGGAUAAGCCUGGGAAACUGGGUCUAAUACCGAAUAGGACCGCGCUCUUCAUGGGGUGUGGUGGAAAGCUUUUGCGGUGUGGGAUGGCCCGCGGCCUAUCAGCUUGUUGGUGGGGUAAUGGCCUACCAAGGCGACGACGGGUAGCCGGCCUGAGAGGGUGACCGGCCACACUGGGACUGAGAUACGGCCCAGACUCCUACGGGAGGCAGCAGUGGGGAAUAUUGCACAAUGGGCGCAAGCCUGAUGCAGCGACGCCGCGUGAGGGAUGACGGCCUUCGGGUUGUAAACCUCUUUCAAUAGGGACGAAGCGCAAGGUUUUCUCGGAUUGACGGUACCUAUAGAAGAAGGACCGGCCAACUACGUGCCAGCAGCCGCGGUAAUACGUAGGGUCCGAGCGUUGUCCGGAAUUACUGGGCGUAAAGAGCUCGUAGGUGGUUUGUCGCGUUGUUCGUGAAAACUCACAGCUUAACUGUGGGCGUGCGGGCGAUACGGGCAGACUAGAGUACUGCAGGGGAGACUGGAAUUCCUGGUGUAGCGGUGGAAUGCGCAGAUAUCAGGAGGAACACCGGUGGCGAAGGCGGGUCUCUGGGCAGUAACUGACGCUGAGGAGCGAAAGCGUGGGGAGCGAACAGGAUUAGAUACCCUGGUAGUCCACGCCGUAAACGGUGGGUACUAGGUGUGGGUUUCCUUCCUUGGGAUCCGUGCCGUAGCUAACGCAUUAAGUACCCCCCCUGGGGAGUACGGCCGCAAGGUUAAAACUCAAAGGAAUUGACGGGGGCCCGCACAAUCGGCGGAACAUGUGGAUUAAU
rnacentral:rRNA from 1 species